UACGUAGGUGGCAAGCGUUAUCCGGAUUUACUGGGUGUAAAGGGAGCGUAGACGGUAUGGCAAGUCUGAAGUGAAAGCCCAGGGCUUAACCCUGGGACUGCUUUGGAAACUGUUAGACUAGAGUGCUGGAGAGGUAAGUGGAAUUCCUAGUGUAGCGGUGAAAUGCGUAGAUAUUAGGAGGAACACCAGUGGCGAAGGCGGCUUGCAGGACAGUAACUGACGUUGAGGCUCGAAAGCGUGGGGAGCAAACAGG
rnacentral:rRNA from 1 species